rnacentral:rRNA from 1 species
CCUACGGGUGGCAGCAGUAGGGAAUAUUGCACAAUGAGGGAAACCCUGAAGCAGCAACGCCGCGUGGAGGAUGAAGGUUUUCGGAUUGUAAACUCCUUUUGUUAGAGAAGAUAAUGACGGUAUCUAACGAAUAAGCACCGGCUAACUCCUUGCCAGCAGCCGCGGUAAUACGGUGGGUGCAAGCGUUACUCGGGAUCACUGGGCGUAAAGGGCUCGUAGGCGGGAUAGCAAGUCAGAUGUGAAAUCCUAUGGCUUAACCAUAGAACUGCAUUCGAAACUGUUAUUCUAGAGUAUGGGAGAGGUAGGUGGAAUUCUUGGUGUAGGGGUAAAAUCCGUAGAGAUCAAGAGGAAUACUCAUUGCGAAGGCGACCUGCUAGAACAUAACUGACGCUGAUGCGCGAAAGCGUGGGGAGCAAACAGGAUUAGAUACCCUUGUAGUC